GUUGAUCCUGCGGGAGAUUGCUGCUAUGGGGAUUCGACUUAGACAUGCAAGUCUUUGAGCAAUCAAGGCAUAAGGCUCAGUAACACGUCGGUAAUCUGCCCUAUGGUCAGGGAUAACCUCGGGAAACUGAGGAUAAUACCUGAUAGGGGAAUCUACCUGGAAUGGUAUUUCUCUUAAACUCGUGCCAUAGGAUGAGCCGGCGGCGGAUUAGGCUGUUGGUGGGGUAAUGGCCCACCAAAACCGAAGAUCCGUACGGGCCAUGAGAGUGGUAGCCCGGAGAGGGACACUGAGAUACUGGUCCCAGCCCUACGGGGUGCAGCAGUUACGAAACCUCUACAAUGCACGCAAGUGUGAUAGGGGGAUCCCCAGUGCUCAUGUUCUACAUGGGCUUUUGCUGAGCGUAAAUAACUCGGCGAAUAAGUGGUGGGUAAGACUGGUGCCAGCCGCCGCGGUAACACCAGCGCCACGAGUGGCGAUCACGAUUAUUGGGCCUAAAGCGUCCGUAGCCGGCUAGGUAAAUCCAUUGUGAAAUCGGCAUGCUCAACAUGUCGGCUUGCAGUGGACACUGCCCAGCUCGAGACCGGGAGGAGUCAGAAGUAUGCCAUGGGGACCGGUAAAAUGGGAUAAUCCAUGGUGGACUACCAAUGGCGAAGGCAUCUGACCAGAACGGGUCUGACGGUGAGGGACGAAGGCUAGGGGAGCGAACCGGAUUAGAUACCCGAGUAGUCCUAGCAGUAAACGCUGCGAGCAAGGUGUUGCGCAUCCUACGAGGAUGUGCAGUGUCGAAGAGAAGUCGUUAAGCUCGCCGCCUGGGAAGUACGGUCGCAAGACUGAAACUUUAAGGAAUUGGCGGGGGAGCACCACAAGGGGUGCGGCGUGCGGUUUAAUCUAACUCAACACAGAGAACCUUACUAGAAGCGACGGCAGGAUGAAGGUCAGUCUGAAGGGCUUACCUGACGAGCCGAGAGGUAGUGCAUGGCCAUCGUCAGCUCGUGCUGUAAAGUGUCCUGUUAAGUCAGGCAACGAGCGAGACCUGUAUCCACAAUUGCCAGCAGCCUACGGGGCUGGGCACAUUGUGGAGACUGCCCCGGAAACGGGGAGGAAGGUGCAGGCUACGGUAGGUCUGUAUGCUCCGAAUCUUCUAGGCUACACGCGCGCAACAAUGGCAACGACAAUGGGCCGCGACCCCGAGAGGGGAAGCUAAUCCUCGAAACGUUGUCCUAGUCUAGAUUGGGGGUUGUAACUCACCCUCAUGACACUGGAAUCCCUAGUAAUCAGGUUUCAUCAAGGCCUGGCGAAUAUGUCCCUGCUCCUUGCACACACCGCCCGUCAAACCAACCGAGCAGGGUUUAGGUAAACUGCAUUUCUCGUGAAUGCUGUGAAUCUAAGCUCAGUGAGGUGGGUUAAGUCGUCACAAGGUA
rnacentral:rRNA from 1 species